UCCAAUCAGGAAUCAAAUGAUGAACUCCAACAAAUAUUUCGUCACUUGGAUACUAAUGGUAAUGGGAAAAUCGAAGGAUCUGAACUCAGAUCCUACCUUGCCUCCAAAAAGGAGUUCAUGUCACCUGAGGAGGCUCAAGCUGUGACCAAUGAACUCGUUGCGG